AAAUUUUGGCGUGAAAAUUUUCAAAUUCCCUCCCCCUAAUACCACCAUCUUUCUCAAACCAUUAGGUAUACCUCCAAAAUCCAUCUUUCCCACCAUUAGGUUUUUCUCAAUGACCGAAUAUACUCAGUAGGUUUCAGAACUGACUGCUAAUAAUCUUUGCUGAAAGCCCUAGAGUAUAGUGCUUAACCAAGGCCAACAUAGUGAUCUGAAGCUUAUUGGAGGAGGUACAUUUGGUGACAUCUGUAUAGGUAUCUUCCACUGGAUUUUGCAAAGUCCAAUGGAUUGAUGAAUAGAAAUUGUGAGAUGAUUCUGAAGGACGAAGCAUAGAGAUGGUGGUCAGUGUGGCUUGGGAGAUAUUCACAUCAUUUUGAAAUUAUAAGUGGAUGGACAAAAUAUAGAAGCAAAUGGACUCCAAAUAGGAGAUGCUUACAAGUUUGAACUCAUCAAGAAUGGGGAAAUUCCUAUAGCACACUUCCACUGCAAUUACUCUGCAAAGAGAGAAAUAGUGAAGCAACUUGACUUUUCAUUUUUUUUUUAAUUUGGUUGAUCCAAUAUAUGGUGUACAACCUUAAAAACAAUGUAUGAUUCUGGUAAGUUGGUUCGAUUUAUUGGGUGCUGAUAAAUAUUAGUAAUAUAUGAUG